rnacentral:lncRNA from 1 species
GACUCUGCCUUUGCUUGCAGUUCUCUGGCUUGAUUGAGGAGGUUCUCACUUUCAUCUUUAUGGGACUUUGGCUAAAAAAAUAAACUGUCAAAGGAACUGGCAUUUGCUGACUGGACUACAGCACAUCUCGAAGAAUCUGCAGACUGAAACCUUCAAGGCAUUCAUGAAAUGGUCUUCCCUUAGUUCCCCUGCCUUUUCCACUCUUUCUGCCAUUUGGAUUUCACACUGGAAGUUCAAGAGAUGACAUCAGAAAACAGAAAAGCCAGUGGGAAAGGCAAGGAGAUUUGGAAGAGUGUUUGAAAAUUUUGGCAAUCAAGAAUAAGAAGGUCAGUAAAUUUCAGUGCAGGACCACAUAAGUCUAAAAUACUGUGACUGACUACUUCCUAAAAAUCACCUUGUAACACAGGCUCUCUUGGUUUUUAAUACAACCACAGACCUACGAUUUUGCUUAAAGAUCGUGCAACUGUGUAGACGGAUGUUCCUGCAAACCCAAAGCAGGAAGCCAAGUCACCAGGCAGAACUGAUAGCAUGGGAAGUGGGUUCCCACCAGUCGCAUGCAGCUGCUCUGGUAUGGCCAUGGUGCUGGGGAUGAGUCAGAAAUCUCAGUCUUUUCUGGCUUAAAGAAAAGGAAGAAUGGAACCCAUCUUCUCCAGAUAUGUUGUUAUGGGGUAGGUGUAGGUCUAGAGACAGAAAAGAAUCACAUUUGAACAUCCUCUUAAUGCAAGAACAUUUUUAAAGAAACAAUUUUCCCUGAAUAUCCAUCAAGCCUAAUACAGUGUGACUAUCUGAGAUCAAUUAUUCUUAUCUUUACAAAGACUGGGAGUUAUACAGCAAAAGCAAUACUGUAAAAUAUGUGU